rnacentral:rRNA from 1 species
GGGAAACUGCCCGAUGGAGGGGGAUAACUACUGGAAACGGUAGCUAAUACCGCAUAACGUCGCAAGACCAAAGUGGGGGACCUUCGGGCCUCACACCAUCGGAUGUGCCCAGAUGGGAUUAGCUAGUAGGUGGGGUAAUGGCUCACCUAGGCGACGAUCCCUAGCUGGUCUGAGAGGAUGACCAGCCACACUGGAACUGAGACACGGUCCAGACUCCUACGGGAGGCAGCAGUGGGGAAUAUUGCACAAUGGGCGCAAGCCUGAUGCAGCCAUGCCGCGUGUAUGAAGAAGGCCUUCGGGUUGUAAAGUACUUUCAGCGGGGAGGAAGGUGUUGAGGUUAAUAACCUCAGCAAUUGACGUUACCCGCAGAAGAAGCACCGGCUAACUCCGUGCCAGCAGCCGCGGUAAUACGGAGGGUGCAAGCGUUAAUCGGAAUUACUGGGCGUAAAGCGCACGCAGGCGGUCUGUCAAGUCGGAUGUGAAAUCCCCGGGCUCAACCUGGGAACUGCAUUCGAAACUGGCAGGCUAGAGUCUUGUAGAGGGGGGUAGAAUUCCAGGU